GAAGCGUAUAAAUGUAUGAGCGCCUGAAGAGUGGUGCAAUUGUAAAAGGAAGGCAUUUACAUAUGAAUGAAAUGACGUGUCCGAUUUCAUUGCUUAUCUGGUUGGGUAGUGAGAACAAAUGACUGUGCUAAGUGCAUAGAAAAGAUUGCUAAUUUCAACUGGCACUUUGGUAUGCUUUGUUCAAGCCUGAACAUGAUUAUCACAAUUCUUGAUAUCACUGGUAAAAAUCCUAAAGUGUCUUCUGUCAAGAUCCUAAAAUGGAAUAACAGACGAAUCCCCUGGUCUUAUUGAAAAAUUCGAAUUGAGACGAUACCGAUCUGUUCUGCUUUCAAAGACGCUCAUUCUAUGUUCCUCUUCCUAUAAUCGAAAGUUACUUCAGAGGAUAUGUAAAUCCUCCUUAUGAAUGCUAACGUAAACGAGAUAUGCGCUCCCAUCUGGCCACGGAUGCUGAAAAGAACAUGUUUGCUUGAAAGUUGUAUGUUGCCUUAAUCUUUCCCCGAGGCCUCCAAACUUUCAAGUUCAACCAAUGUGAAGCAAGAUAUAUUGCUGGCAAGCUAUUUCCAAUUCCAUAAAGCCUGGAACACCAAUGCUUUGUAAAUAAGCUCAAAUGGAAGAAUGACUUGUCAUGGGUGAAUAUUUAAAGUUUAAACUAGCUUUAUUAUGUUAAGUGUAUUUGAACGAUUUUUGGAGCAAGUUCACAACCCUAUAUAGGAUCUACUAAAAUAGAACUGUAAAAUUGUGUUUUAAUUCUAAGCAUGCAUGUGCUCGUAAAAAUAAAUUUACGAUCUUUAAUUAGAUAAUAAUCGUAAAUCGUUUGUAUAUUGAAAUACCUUUAUGAAACUAUUUUAUUGAAGACAAAAUUGAAGCAGUCUUGAAUUUACAAGUACUAUGAUUAAACCGAGAUUAUAUCCGAAUAUGCAUUGGAACUUAAAAGCAGAGAUUUUGAAUUUCCUUUUGAAUUUUAAUUUAUGUAAACACAGCAAGGAAUGCUUUAAAAACUUCUAUAUUAUAUGGAGUAGUAAAGGCAAACUAAUAAACAAUAAUUUUACAUAUUAAAGCCUCUUCUCCAUUUUGAUAUAAAUUGCAUUGCUUACAACUGGGUUAGGAUUUGUUUACAUCAAAUACAUAAGUGUCGAAUCAUCAACAUGCAUGAGUUUGUUAGAAUAGAAACAUUGUUUAUGCAUGACAUUUAACAAAUUUCCACAUAAAUGAAUAUAUUAAUGGUUGCAGAAUAGGUCUAAGUUCAAUCUCGUUAUCCCACUUUAAAUAAGAAGCUGAAAUUUUGACCAAAAUUUAAGCAAAUUUAUUAGAUAUUAUAGCAGUGGGAUAAAAGCAACUCUUCAUAAAGCAGUACCAGUUAGUCAUUCUGCUUAAGUGAAUAUUUGGAGUGGAAUUCGCUCAGUUUUCAUUAAAUUGAUCGUUCUUGAAUUCGCUUGUAAUAAAUAUUUCGAAGAAUUAAUUU